GACGAACCGUGCGAACGUUGUUCGGAAUCACUGGGCUUAAAGGGCGCGUAGGCGGGCUGCCAAGUCCGUGGUGAAAUCCCCCGGCUCAACCGGGGAACGGCCUCGGAUACUGGCGGCCUGGAGGCGGGUAGGGGCAAGCGGAACUGUGGGUGGAGCGGUGAAAUGCGUUGAGAUCCACAGGAACUCCGGUGGCGAAGGCGGCUUGCUGGACCCGAUCUGACCGCUGAGGCGCGAAAGCCAGGGG
rnacentral:rRNA from 1 species